rnacentral:rRNA from 1 species
UGGGGAAUAUUGGACAAUGGGGGCAACCCUGAUCCAGCAAUGCCGCGUGUGUGAAGAAGGUCUUCGGAUUGUAAAGCACUUUCGACGGGGACGAUGAUGACGGUACCCGUAGAAGAAGCCCCGGCUAACUUCGUGCCAGCAGCCGCGGUAAUACGAAGGGGGCUAGCGUUGCUCGGAAUGACUGGGCGUAAAGGGCGUGUAGGCGGUUUACACAGUCAGAUGUGAAAUCCCCGGGCUUAACCUGGGAGCUGCAUUUGAUACGUGUAGACUAGAGUGUGAGAGAGGGUUGUGGAAUUCCCAGUGUAGAGGUGAAAUUCGUAGAUAUUGGGAAGAACACCGGUGGCGAAGGCGGCAACCUGGCUCAUGACUGACGCUGAGGCGCGAAAGCGUGGGGAGCAAACAGGAUUAGAUACCCUGGUAGUCCACGCUGUAAACGAUGUGUGCUAGAUGUUGGGUAACUUUGUUAUUCAGUGUCGCAGUUAACGCGUUAAGCACACCGCCUGGGGAGUACGGGCCGCAAGGUUGA